UGUUCGAGCGUCAUUAUAGCCACUCAAGCCUCGCUUGGUGUUGGGGCUCGCAGACUUGCGGCCUCUAAAAUCAGUGGCGGUGCCGGUAGGCUCUGAGCGUAGUACAUCUCCUCGCUAUAGAGUCCUAUCGGUCCCCUGCCAAAACCCCCAUAUUUUUAUAGGUUGACCUCGGAUCAGGUAGGGAUACCCGCUGAACUUAA
rnacentral:misc_RNA from 1 species